UUAAUUGAAGAGUUUGAUCAUGGCUCAGAUUGAACGCUGGCGGCAGGCCUAACACAUGCAAGUCGAGCGGCAGCACAGAGGAACUUGUUCCUUGGGUGGCGAGCGGCGGACGGGUGAGUAAUGCCUGGGAAAUUGCCCGGUAGAGGGGGAUAACCAUUGGAAACGAUGGCUAAUACCGCAUAACCUCGCAAGAGCAAAGCAGGGGACCUUCGGGCCUUGCGCUACCGGAUAUGCCCAGGUGGGAUUAGCUAGUUGGUGAGGUAAGG
rnacentral:rRNA from 1 species